GAUGGACGCUGGCGGCGUGCCUAAUACAUGCAAGUCGAGCGAACAGACGAGGAGCUUGCUCCUCUGACGUUAGCGGCGGACGGGUGAGUAACACGUGGAUAACCUACCUAUAUGACUGGGAUAACUUCGGGAAACCGGAGCUAAUACCGGAUAAUAUAUUUAACCGCAUGGUUCAAUAGUGAAAGACGGUUUUGCUGUCACUUAUAGAUGUAUCCGCGCCGCAUUAGCUAGUUGGUAAGGUAACGGCUUACCAAGGCAACGAUGCGUAGCCGACCUGAGAGGGUGAUCGGCCACACUGGAACUGAGACACGGUCCAGACUCCUACGGGAGGCAGCAGUAGGGAAUCUUCCGCAAUGGGCGAAAGCCUGACGGAGCAACGCCGCGUGAGUGAUGAAGGUCUUCGGAUCGUAAAACCCUGUUAUUAGGGAAGAACAAAUGUGUAAGUAACUAUGCACGUCUUGACGGUACCUAAUCAGAAAGCCACGGCUAACUACGUG
rnacentral:rRNA from 1 species